AAAGUGAUCUCAAUUUAUACAGCUUUCAGGAUGGCAGCGAUAACAUGCUAGAGACAGAAUCUGCUAAACUGAGAAUGCUAGAUACUGGAGAUGAAGCAUUUCAGGAAAGCCAGCUUUCAAAGUUCCCACUUUCAAAGAUUACAAACAAGGAAAGACAAUCUGAAGAAACUGUGGAAGCCAAGAACAAAGAUGUAUAUGACUCAUGUAAA